GUAGGGUGCGAGCGUUAAUCGGAAUUACUGGGCGUAAAGUGUGCGCAGGCGGCGUUGCAAGUCGAGUGUGAAAGCCCCGGGCUUAACUUGGGAAUUGCGCUCGAAACUACGAUGCUGGAGUGUGGCAGAGGAAGGUGGAAUUCCACGUGUAGCGGUGAAAUGCGUAGAGAUGUGGAGGAACACCGAUGGCGAAGGCAGCCUUCUGGGCCAACACUGACGCUCAUGCACGAAAGCGUGGGGAGCAAACAGGAUUAGAUACCCUGGUAGUCCACGCUGUAAACGAUGAGUGCUAGGCGUCGGCAUGCAUGCAUGUCGGUGCCGCAGCUAACGCGUGAAGCACUCCGCCUGGGGAGUACGGUCGCAAGAUUA
rnacentral:rRNA from 1 species